AAAGGCUUGGUCCUGACUUUACCAUCAGCUUUAACCCUAUUUAUACAUGCAAGUAUCCGCACCCCUGUGAGAAUGCCCUCAAUCCCCUGCCCGGGGACAAGGAGCAGGCAUCAGGCACAUAAGACUAGCCCAAAACGCCUUGCUACGCCACACCCCCAAAGGGAACUCAGCAGUAAUAAACAUUAAGCAAUAAGUGAAAACUUGACUUAGCCAAGGUUAUACAGGGUCGGUAAAAUUCGUGCCAGCCACCGCGGUUAUACGAAAGACCCUAGUUGAUGGCCACGGCGUAAAGGGUGGUUAAAGGAAUACAAUAAAUAAAGCUAAAGACCCUCUAAGCUGUCAUACGCAUCACGAGGAUACGAAACCCCAACACGAAAGUAGCUUUAAACAAAUUUAACCUGACCCCACGAAAGCUAAGAAACAAACUGGGAUUAGAUACCCCACUAUGCUUAGCCAUAAACCCAGAUGUACAUUUACAUAAACAUCCGCCAGGGUACUACGAGCGCAGCUUAAAACCCAAAGGACUUGGCGGUGUCUCAGACCCACCUAGAGGAGCCUGUUCUAGAACCGAUAACCCCCGUUAAACCUCACCAUUCCUUGUUUCUCCCGCCUAUAUACCGCCGUCGUCAGCUUACCCUGUGAAGGCCCAACAGUAAGCAAAAUGGGAUUACCCCAAAACGUCAGGUCGAGGUGUAGCGCACGGAAUGGAAAGAAAUGGGCUACAUUUUCUACACAUAGAAUAUUACGAACGACAUUCUGAAAACAUGUCUGAAGGUGGAUUUAGUAGUAAAAAACAAGUAGAGAGUCUUUUUGAAUUAGGCUCUGAGACGCGCACACACCGCCCGUCACUCUCCCCUUACACCCAUCCAAACAAUCCAUAAUAAAAUAUUAAUUAAUACGGGGAGGCAAGUCGUAACAUGGUAAGUGUACCGGAAGGUGCCCUUGGAACAAU
rnacentral:ncRNA from 1 species